CGAAUACUGGAUGGGGGAGGCGUGGGGACGCUGUCCAAAACGGCGAUCCGCUGGGGCGGAAGGAGCUUGGCCGGUGCGUGGUGGAGUCGCUCAGGCAGGGCAGGGCAGGGCAUGCGGUCUCGUCCAUGGCAUCUAGGCUCGCCGCCGCCGAAAUGGAAGGUGACCUCGUUUCCAUGGCGUUGCCUCUACAUUAGUGAGGGUCGGUGGAAGGCAGGCUUGGGUUCGUGAAUCGUGAUCCAGGCGCAGCCUUACCUCUUGGCCGCCCCCAUGCAUGCCCCAGGAUCUGGACUUGUGGAGGCGCUCUGUCUCAAGGUCUCACACACUACCCUACCCUGUUCAACCACUUCCAGCGUGAGCUCCGACUGGUGAGCGGGAUGUGGUGCUGGACUGCUGGAGUUUACACAAGAGGAAUUGAAUGCCACUGCAAUGACGAUUCCGAGCAUCCCAAGCCUGUCGAGUACCCCGUGAGCAAUGGGUAGGCUCAGCACGAGCAAUGCGACACCAUUUGAUCUUGGAUGUGAUCAGCAGCUCCACAGUUGCCACUUUUUUAGGGUUGGGAGGCCUGCAUUUGGUUCUCUAUUCAGGGUUGAAGGUGGGGCAUAAGCUGCUCCAACCUCCAACUACUCUGUCUCCUGGAGACGUGGUUUGGGCUACUUGGAUAACACGGUGCCCGCUGCUCUUACUUGGAUGCCAAUGAGCCCUAAGCAUUGGUAGCAAGGAGCACUUAGAUCCUGCUGGGGCAUGCUCAUUUUACAACGAAGGAGAAGCACAGCAAGAGUAUCUCCAACCGCGAUUGCUGUUCAGUCACCCUACAUUGCUCAAGUGCAAUUAUUAGACUAUCUCCAGCAGAUUUCCUAUCUCACUUCUAUUUUAAACUCCACUCUGCAAAUAGUGUCGUCUCAGUAUAAAAUAGUGUUUUGCACGCCCAUAUAGAUGGUCUUAAGAGAGAAGCACCUUCCUUGGAUGGGGUUUCUGGGCUCGGCUUCAGUUAACAUUGAUUCAAACACCUGAACGCUUGGUUAACACAAGGAAUUGGAAGCUGGGAAAUCAUAUGUUGCGUUUUAUUAUCAUUUUUUUUAACUCUGAUACACACAGGACGGCAUGAGGAUGAAUAUUCAGGAAGAGGAAAACUUCAAUUUCCUGGGCAUCACUGACCUAUUUCUUGCCUAGCACGGGCACGGUGCUCCUAUUCCUGUAAAUCCAGUACUGUCGACAAGGAUAGGAUACCCAGUGCAGAUGACAGACAGUUCACAAUUGAGUUCUAGGCUUCACAUUUGUGCUUGUGCUUGCUUGGAGCAACAUAUUGCAGCAUCAAACAUUUCCAAGAUAUCUCUGAACAACCCGAUCUUCCAACUCCCGUCUCUCCCCUGUCAUGAGCGUGGAGUUUUGUGUUGUUAAUAUCAUGCUCAUGUAAUCUAUCUUGGAUUCUUGGGAGAUCACGGAGGAAUCCAGUUCCCCCACAUAACUGAACUUUACUUAUACUGUCCUUGCUUAUGCUACUGCAACUUCCC